rnacentral:rRNA from 1 species
UACAGAGGGUGCAAGCGUUAAUCGGAAUUACUGGGCGUAAAGCGUGCGCAGACGGUUGCGUAAGUCAGAUGUGAAAGCCCCGGGCUCAACCUUGGAAUUGCAUUUGAGACUGCGUAGCUAGGGUGCGGAAGAGGGAAGCGGAAUUUCCGGUGUAGCGGUGAAAUGCGUAGAUAUCGGAAGGAACACCAGUGGCGAAGGCGGCAUCCUGGACCGGCAUUGACGCUGAGGAGCGAAAGCUAGGGGAGCAAACGGG